GAACGCUGGCGGCGUGCUUAACACAUGCAAGUCGAACGCGAACGGGGCUUCGGCCCCAAGUAGAGUGGCGCACGGGUGAGUAACGCGUGGACAAUCUGCCCUUAUGACUGGAAUAACAGUUGGAAACGGCUGCUAAUACCGGAUACGCUCAGGAAGAACUUUUUUGAGGAAAGGCGGCCUCUGCUUGCAAGCUGUCGCAUAAGGAUGAGUCCGCGUCCCAUUAGCUAGUUGGCGGGGUAACGGCCCACCAAGGCAACGAUGGGUAGCCGAUUUGAGAGGAUGAUCGGCCACACUGGGACUGAAACACGGCCCAGACUCCUACGGGAGGCAGCAGUGGGGAAUAUUGCGCAAUGGGCGAAAGCCUGACGCAGCGACGCCGCGUGAGGGAUGAAAGGUUUUCGGAUCGUAAACCUCUGUCAGAAGGGAAGAAACUGCCGUGCUCUAAUCAUCAUGGCAUUGACGGUACCUUCAAAGGAAGCACCGGCUAACUCCGUGCCAGCCGCCGC
rnacentral:rRNA from 1 species